rfam:Ovis aries breed Texel chromosome 14, whole genome shotgun sequence.
UCCCUGGCAGUCUAGCGGUUAAGACUCGGCACUUUCACUGCUGUGGGCCUGGGUUCAAUUCCUGGUCAGGGAA